CCUGGCUCAGGAUGAACGCUGGCGGCAUGCCUAAGACAUGCAAGUCGAACGAGACGACCUCAAGAAGACUGAGUGCUUGCACGAAGUUGGAAAGAGAUCAUCGUCUAGUGGCAGACGGGUGAGUAACACGUGGGUAACCUACCUUCAAGUUGGGGAUAACAGUUGGAAACGAUUGCUAAUACCGAAUAAGGUACUUGUACUGAAAGGAGCCUUUAAAGCUUCGCUUAAAGAUGGGCCUGCGGCGUAUUAACUAGUUGGUGAGGUAAUGGCUCACCAAGGUAACGAUGCGUAGCCGAACUGAGAGGUUGAACGGCCACACUGGGACUGAGACACGGCCCAGACUCCUACGGGAGACAGCAGUUAGGAAUAUUCGUCAAUGGGGGAAACCCUGAACGAGCGAUGCCGCGUGAGUGAUGAAGGCCCUCUGGGUUGUAAAACUCUGUUGUAUGGGAAGAACGGCCCUAUUAGGAAAUGAAUAGAGAGUGACGGUACCAUACGAGAAAGCUCCGGCUAACUACGUGCCAGCCGCGGC
rnacentral:rRNA from 1 species